GAUGAACGCUGGCGGCGUGCCUAAUACAUGCAAGUCGAGCGAACAGACGAGGAGCUUGCUCCUCUGACGUUAGCGGCGGACGGGUGAGUAACACGUGGAUAACCUACCUAUAAGACUGGGAUAACUUCGGGAAACCGGAGCUAAUACCGGAUAAUAUAUUGAACCGCAUGGUUCAAUAGUGAAAGACGGUUUUGCUGUCACUUAUAGAUGGAUCCGCGCCGCAUUAGCUAGUUGGUAAGGUAACGGCUUACCAAGGCAACGAUGCGUAGCCGACCUGAGAGGGUGAUCGGCCACACUGGAGCUGAGACACGGUCCAGACUCCUACGGGAGGCAGCAGUAGGGAAUCUGCCGCAAUGGGCGAAAGCUUGACGGAGCAACGCCGCGUGAGUGAUGAAGGUCUUCGGAUCGUAAAACUCUGUUAUUAGGGAAGAACAAAUGUGUAAGUAACUAUGCACGUCUUGACGGUACCUAAUCAGAAAGCCACGGCUAACUACGUG
rnacentral:rRNA from 1 species